GGGGGGGGGGGGGGGGGGGGGGGGGGGGGGGGGGGGGGGCGGGAGCGGGGGGGGGGGUGGUGGGGAGGGGGGGACGGUUGGGUGAUGCGGCGGAAGGUGCCGGGACGUGGGGGAUAGCUAGUCGCGAGAGUGGCUAAUGCCGCGUGCGCUGUAUGGAGGGAGGCGGGGGACCGUAAGGCCUCGCGGGAUUGGAGCGUCGGAUGUCAGAUUAGGGAGUUGGGUGGGUAAAGGCUCACGCAGCCACCAAUCUGUAGCUGGGCUGAGAGAACGAUCAGCCACACUGGAACUGCGACACGGCCCAGACUCCUACGGGAGGCAGCAGUGGGGAAUUUUGGACAAUGGGCGCAAGCCUGAACCAGCAAUGCCGCGUGCAGGAAGAAGGCCGGCGGGUUGUAAACUGCUUUUGUACGGAACGAAACGGCUCUGGUUAAUACCCGGGGCUAAUGACGGUACAGUAAGAAUAAGCACCGGCUAACUACGUG
rnacentral:rRNA from 1 species